AUAAAUUUUUGUCUCUCUUUUCUUUAGUUUUGUCACAUUCAUAAUUUUGUAUCAGAGUUAUAUGUUAAUUAUGAUUGCAGUACCUACUGUACUAAUGUGUGCGAGAGACUGAGCAAGCUACUUGCUAAGCAAGCAUUCCCCAGCUCUUAUCACACGAUAUCAUCAACCAACAUUAUUAGCACUGGAAACACUACUGACAAUGAUACUGGCAUUAGAAUCAACCAACACCACCACUACUGAUAAUGAUGAUACCAAUGAUGGUGAUACUAAUAGAAUGUGUACUAAAAA
rnacentral:lncRNA from 1 species